UACAGCCAUAUCACGUUUAAACAUCGAUUCCUGUACGAUCACGGAAAUUAAGCAAUGUUGAGCCUGGUCAGUUCCUGGAUGGGUGACCGCUCGGGAAUACC